UGAGCGUCCUGAGCGCCUGACCGCAGCCCUGGACCGCCUGCGGCAGCGCGGCCUGGAACAGAGGUGUCUGCUGUUGUCAGCCCGCGAGGCCUCGGAAGAGGAGCUGGGCCUGGUGCACAGAGUACCUUUCACUGUGCGCGGCUGGCCGCAGGGGCUGGACUGCAGCUGGUGGACGCUGUGCUCACGGGAGCUGUGCAAAAUGGGCUUGCCCUGGUGAGGCCCCCAGGGCACCACAGCCAGAGGGCGGCUGCCAACGGGUUCUGUGUGUUCAACAACGUGGCCAUAGCAGCUGCACAUGCCAAGCAGAAACACGGGCUACACAGGAUCCUCGUCGUGGACUGGGAUGUGCAUCAUGGCCAGGGGAUCCAGUAUCUCUUUGAGGAUGACCCCAGCAUCCUUUACUUCUCCUGGCACCGCUAUGAGCAUGGGCGCUUCUGGCCUUUCCUGCGAGAGUCAGAUGCCGACGCAGUGGGGCGGGGACAGGGCCUCGGCUUCACUGUCAACCUGCCCUGGAACCAGUUCAGGAUGUAGCCUGGGAUGUCCUGCCAGGUCGGGAUGGGAAACGCUGACUACGUGGCUGCCUUCCUGCACCUGCUGCUCCCACUGGCCUUUGAGUUUGACCCUGAGCUGGUGCUGGUCUCGGCAGGAUUUGACUCAGCCAUCGGGGACCCUGAGGUGAGGGCCUUGCCUGGCCAGGGAGGGCUUCUGGGGUCCUGGGGCCCAGGUCCCCCAUCACACAUGGCUCUGGUUCCAGGGGCAAAUGCAGGCCACGCCAGAGUGCUUCGCCCACCUCACACAGCUGCUGCAGGUG
rnacentral:sRNA from 1 species